AUGGAAGGUUUGAUUCCAUAUCUUAUUCAUGCCAUCAAGAAGCAGAAGCCGCAUCAACAUAGUCUCAACAGGAGUGUCUCUCAUUCUGGGAGCAUAAGCCGUAGCUACCACUUGCUGUUGGAAUCUGAAUCCGUGUCAGGAUCUUCUCAUAGAAGAACUAGAUCUGAAUUUCAGCAACCCACAAGUGAGUUCUUAGAGCAUAGAUUUGGUGUUGAUGGAGUUUUGGUUAGCCCCAGAGGCCUAACUGUCACAGCUCUGCAUCCUACCACUGCUAAUGCUACUGCUUCCCAUGAUACACCACAACCCUCGAAGAAUUUCAACAACAAUCACAAUCACAAAUGA